rnacentral:rRNA from 1 species
AUUAUUUUAAUUAAUUAAAAAAUACUUAAGUAGUAAUAGAUAUAGGCUUGAAACUUAAAAAAUUUGGCGGUAUUUUAAUCUUAUUAGAGGAACCUGUUCUAUAAUCGAUAAUCCACGUUAAAUUUUACUAAAUUUUAAUAUUUGUAUACCGUUGUCGAAAGAAUAUUUUUAAAAAAAUUAAAUUUUCAAAAAUUUAAAAUAAAAUUUAUGUCAAAUCAAGGUGCAGUUUAUAAUUUAGAAGAAAUGGGUUACAAUAAAUUUAUUUAAAUGGAUUUUAUAUUGAAAAAUAUUAAUAAAGGUGGAUUUAAUAGUAAAUUAAUUUUAAUAUAAUUAAUUGAUUAAAGUUCUAAAAUAUGUACACAUCGCCCGUCGCUCUCUUUA